rnacentral:rRNA from 1 species
AUACAAGUAGUAGGGAAGGAAACUGACGACCUUCGGGGAGCUUGUACAGGUGCUGCAUGCUGUCGUCAGCUCGUGUCGUGAGAUGUUCGGUUAAGUCCGCUAACGAGCGCAACCCUCGCUGUGUGUUACAAGUGUCACACGGAACUGCCGGUCAUAAACCGGAGGAGGGUGGGGAUGACGUCAAGUCAGCAUGGCCUUUAUAUCCUGGGCUACACACACGCUACAAUGGGAAGGGACAAUAGGUUGCGAAGCCGCGAGGCGGAGCCAAUCCAGCAAAACUUCCCUCAGUUCAGAUUGCAGGCUGCAACUCGCCUGCAUGAAGUUGGAGUUGCUAGUAAACGCAGGUCAGCCAUACUGCGUUGAAUACGUUCCCGGGGCUU